UGUUAUAAAACUGACGAUCAUGUUCUGAAAUGCAUGAACUUGUAGAAUCAUCGACUAUCGUCCACAGAUCUCAAAGUAGCACGGUAGGAAACUUUAGGGGUCAAUGUUACCAUGUAUACCAUCCGGUCUUGCCUGUGUCCAACCGGUCUCUCAGCAAGAUGACCAAGAAAGAAACCACUCCUCACCGACAAUAUAAGAAAUAUGAGCCUCUACUGGGCCAUGUUAACUGGAGUGAAGCAAUGAGGAGCAAAGUAAUAUUUUCAAACGAAUCAAAGUUCAUCCUGCACGAGUCUGAUGGGAAGCACUUUGUAUAACGUCAAUGUGUUUAAAUGCAACUGUGAAGCACCCGCAGGGUCAGAUGCUAUGGGGAUGCAUCUCAGGUCAGAGUGUAGGACACCUACGUUUUGUGAGAGACACUGUCAAUGCCAACAAGUACAUCGAGAUCCUCGAGUCCCUCUUAAAGCCAGCUAAUUGGGAUCACUUCGGUGGAGCUGACCAGUACACAUUCCAGGAUGACUCUGCUCCAUGCCACAGGGCUAAAAAGAUGAAGGACUAUCUUUGAAGGGAGGUCUCAACCCUGUCGAAAACUGCUAGAAGAUAACGGGUAGCCAAAUACAAGAGUAAAAACUGAAAAGUUCCUUGGAACUGCUGGAAGCCCUAAUUCUCAUGUGACAUCAUAAACUCUCUCCUGCCUACAUUCAGUCUUUCGUACACUCUACGUCACGGCGAUGUCAAGUAGUUAUCAACGCAAGAGACCCAACCAAAUAUUAAAACAAAAAACAAACAAACAAAAAAAAAAGACCGUAACCACUUUUUGUCAAUUACACUAGUGACGUUAUCUAUAAAUGUAAAUUUUCUUACCCAGAUUACAUUUUUGUAUUUGUCACGUAUUUGUUGAUCAACUGCUGUAAUACGUUUAUCACAGUUGGUUUGUUAAUAAAUGUGCAUACAUGUGUUUGGGUGACUGAAAUGUGAGUAAGCU